UACGUAGGGGGCUAGCGUUGUCCGGAUUUAUUGGGCGUAAAGAGCGUGUAGGCGGCCAGAUAGGUCUGCUGUGAAAACUCGAGGCUCAACCUCGAGCUGUCGGCGGAAACCAUUUGGCUAGAGCCCGGAAGAGGCGAGUGGAAUUCCCGGUGUAGCGGUGAAAUGCGCAGAUAUCGGGAGGAACACCAAUGGCGAAGGCAGCUCGCUGGGACGUUACUGACGCUGAGACGCGAAAGCGUGGGGAGCAAACAGG
rnacentral:rRNA from 1 species